rnacentral:sRNA from 1 species
GAAAAGCCUCAUGCCCGUGAGGUGGAGCAGGUGUAAUGGGGGACAUCUGCUCAUAUAAAAAAAGCAGUC